rnacentral:rRNA from 1 species
AUGCAAGGGCGUCAUGGUCGACAGAAGAGGCUUCCUAAGGCCGGUUCGCAGGGGGGCCAUGACAAGUGCAAGAAGGGUCCUCUUAAGGAGAAGAACAUGAUGUCUGAAGAGGAGGUGAGGUCCAUCCUGUCCUGGGAAAAGCCUGCCCGCUUCGACCGAAAGAAGAGCAAGUACGCCGGUUUCUUCAACAAGUUGAGGGAUGAAAACUUCAAGUACCAGCAGGAGAUCAGGGAUGAGUUUGAGGAGAAGGGCUACGUCGAGAUCCCCGACAACUUCCGGGAAGACAACAAGCGAAUCAACCAUGAAGCUCACAGGAAGGCGUACCUCAAGGUUUUUGGCACCGAACCACCAGCUAAGUUCUACCAGUAG